rnacentral:lncRNA from 1 species
CAUGAAUUAAAAGCAAUAAAUUAAUAACCAUUUUGUAAUCAAAGAUCGAUGAAUCCAACGGAAAAUUGAUGAAAAAGAAAAACCCUAAACCGAAGAUCCUUGUAAUCGAACGGGACAAAAGUCGAUCUAAAUUUAUAAAACAAAAUUAACGAAUACAGAGAAUCAGACACAUAUAAAAGACAAACAAAUAUCAGUUACAACAGAGAGAAAAUUAAAAUUAAAAAAUUGAGGGAAAAAAAAGGAUAAAAUUAAUUUUAAUUAAUUAAUUAUAAAAAAAAUAAAAAAUAAAAAAGGAAAGAAGGAAGAAAAUCUACUAUGGAGAAAGAAGGGGUUGAAAUGAAAUAAAUUAGAUUUAGAUCCAUAAGAUAUAGUAGUAGUAGUAGUAGUAUAUGAUAUGAUAGAAAAUAAAUAAAUACUAACAUACCAAGAAAGAAUGAAACGAAAGUAUGUGUUGAUUGAGAGAAGGGUUGUGUGAGGGAGAGUUGUUCUUUCUUUCUCUCUCUGCUUUUUUGUGUGGUGUGCUAUAAUGCGCUGGUGACAGUCAAGGAAGAAAACCCACUCCAAUUAUUUAUUUAUUUAUUUAUUUGUUAUAUUAUUAUAUUGUCAGGUGAAUGAGUGAAUUAAAAAAUAAUAGAGAAAUGUAGUGUGAACGUGAAUGAAGUCUGGCUUGGUUACCUAUACUUUUGACCAUUCAAACUUGAAUGUUCA